GACGAACGCUGGCGGCGUGCUUAACACAUGCAAGUCGAACGAAGUGGCGAACGGGUGAGUAACGCGUAAUCAACCUGCCCUUCAGUGGGGGAUAACAGUUGGAAACGACUGCUAAUACCACAUACUGAAGGAGGGGAUGGCGUCGGAUUGGGUGGUUGGAGGGGCAACGGCCGACCAAGGCGAUGAUCAGUAGGCGGGCUGAGAGGGUGAACGGCCAGAGUGGGACUGAGACACGGCCCAGAUUCCGACGGGAGGCAGCAGUGGGGAAGCUUCCGGAAUGGACGCAAGUCUGACGGAGGAACGCCGCGGGAGUGAUGACGGCCUUCGGGGUGUAAAGCUCUGUUAUUCGGGACGCGGUACCGGAAUAGAAAGCCACGGCUAACUACGUGCCAGCAGCCGGGGUAAUAC
rnacentral:rRNA from 1 species